rnacentral:rRNA from 1 species
GGUUGGAGAAGUGGUCUGGCCUGCUCACUGAUAAAGUUAUUUAAGAGCCGCGGUAUAUUGACCGUGCAAAGGUAGCAUAAUCAUUAGGGAUUUAAUUGGAACCUGGUAUGAAGGGUUGGACAAAGGAAAGACUGUCUAUAUGAUAUGAAUUGAAAUUUACUUUUAAGUGAAAAGGCUUAAAUAAAUCAAAGGGACGAUAAGACCCUAUAAAGCUUUAUAAAUAAUUUAAAUUUAAUUAAUUUAAUGAUUAAAGGUUAAGUUUACACUAUUUUAUUUUGUUGGGGUGAUAUGAGUAUAAGUGUUGUUAACUGCUUAAAAAAAAAUUCUAUUAUUAAAGAAUUAAUAAAAUGGAUGAUCCUUUGUAAAGAUUAAAAGACUAAGUUACUUUAGGGAUAACAGCGUUAUUUCUUUUGAGAGUUCAUAUCGAAAAAGAAGAUUGCGACCUCGAUGUUGAAUUAAAAUAUCUAUAUAAUGAAGCCGUUAUAAAAGAGGGUCUGUUCGACCUUUAAAUUUUUACAUGAUCUGUUUCCGACACCGGAAAU